rnacentral:rRNA from 1 species
GGUAGUCCACGCCGUAAACGAUGAUCACUCGCUGUUGGCGAUACACAGUCAGCGGCUAAGCAAAAGCAUUAAGUGAUCCACCUGGGGAGUACGGCCGCAAGGCUGAAACUCAAAGGAAUUGACGGGGGCCCGCACAAGCGGAGGAACAUGUGGUUUAAUUCGAUGAUACGCGAGGAACCUUACCUGGGCUUAAAUGUAGAGUGCAUUUUUGCUGAAAGGCAGAUUUUCUUCGGAACUCUCUGCAAGGUGCUGCAUGGUUGUCGUCAGCUCGUGCCGCGAGGUGUCGGGUUAAGUCCCAUAACGAGCGCAACCCUUAUCGUUAGUUGCCAGCGGGUAAUGCCGGGAACUCUAACGAAACUGCCGGUGUAAACCGAGAGGAAGGUGGGGAUGACGUCAAAUCAGCACGGCCCUUAUGUCCAGGGCUACACACGUGUUACAAUGGCCGGUACAGAGGGCAGCUACCUGGAGACAGGAUGCGAAUCUCGAAAGCCGGUCUCAGUUCGGAUCGGAGUCUGCAACUCGACUCCGUGAAGCUGGAUUCGCUAGUAAUCGCGCAUCAGCCAUGGCGCGGUGAUACGUUCCCGGGCCUUGUACACACCGCCCGUCAAGCCAUGGAAGUUGGGGGUACCUGAAGUCCGU